rnacentral:rRNA from 1 species
CUUGGUCAUUUAGAGGAAGUAAAAGUCGUAACAAGGUCUCCGUAGGUGAACCUGCGGAGGGAUCAUUACACAAAUAUGAAGGCGGGCUGGAACCUCUCGGGGUUACAGCCUUGCUGAAUUAUUCACCCUUGUCUUUUGCGUACUUCUUGUUUCCUUGGUGGGUUCGCCCACCACUAGGACAAACAUAAACCUUUUGUAAUUGCAAUCAGCGUCAGUAACAAAUUAAUAAUUACAACUUUCAACAACGGAUCUCUUGGUUCUGGCAUCGAUGAAGAACGCAGCGAAAUGCGAUAAGUAGUGUGAAUUGCAGAAUUCAGUGAAUCAUCGAAUCUUUGAACGCACAUUGCGCCCUUUGGUAUUCCAAAGGGCAUGCCUGUUCGAGCGUCAUUUGUACCCUCAAGCUUUGCUUGGUGUUGGGCGUCUUGUCUCUAGCUUUGCUGGAGACUCGCCUUAAAGUAAUUGGCAGCCGGCCUACUGGUUACGGAGCGCAGCACAAGUCGCACUCUCUAUCAGCAAAGGUCUAGCAUCCAUUAAGCCUUUUUUUCAACUUUUGACCUCGGAUCAGGUAGGGAUACCCGCUGAACUUAAGCAUAUCAAUAAGCGGAGGA